AGUUGGUAUUGUUCUUGUGUAUCAGUGUUCUGCCUCAUGUUCGUGGCGUGUUCUUGGUUUUGUUAAAAUGGUUCACCCGUACUUGCUUCUGACUCACCGCCCCGUCAAUACAGAAUACCAAACUCAAGCAGCAGGACAAAUGGACAUCUCCCAGACAAUCAAUGAACAAGGUGCUCUUCUUCAUCAACACCAUAAUCAGUUGGCUCAACUGGGGACGGCAAUGGAAGAGGUUCUCUGCAGUCUACAACAUCUCGACAGCGGAGCAUAUUCUAGAGCCAGUCUAACCAACGAGUCAGCACACCAGCCCAUUCAGCAACCCGCUCAGGUCAGCGAUGCCCGUCUAUCCCUCCAGGAGAAAUAUGAAUGGGCACUAUCUAAAUGCUGUGGCUUCCUCCUUCAGUGCUCCCUCUAUUUCGCACAUCUAAUGGGAGCUCCCACCACAGAGGUCUAAGGUUGCCACAGAUAUUUCUCUGCUGACUGGGCAGGCAUUGGAAUAGGCUACGGCCGUUUUGGGAGAGAGGAGCUUGAGUCUUGUGAGGGGUUCAUUUAAAUGUAUUUUUUAUCCUUCUGCGGAGGGCUGCUUCAGCUCCAGCAGGGGGACCAGACGGCUGCUGAGUAUGUGCUUACCUUCCGGACAAUAGCAGCUUCCAGGGGAUGGAAUGAGCCGGUCCAGAUGGAACUGGCCUGCCGAGAUGACAACCUCACCCUGGACACACACAUUGCGAUGGCCAUUUGUCUGGAUAACCUUAGGGACCGUCGGCAUCUACAUCCCUUCUCUCCCACCUUUGGCGAGUGUUCGCGAUCAAAGCCUGAACCCAUGGAGGUAGGGGUCACGUCUUCCCGCGGCGGAAUGACACAGACGGAUGCAGCUGGGACUCUGUCUAUACUGUGGCCAGGGAGGGCACAAGCGCCAGUGUUGUCCGUUACCUCAGAAUCCAGGAUCCACUGGAGCAGCGGGACGGUCAUGUGAUGUUACAUCCCCUGGACCAGGAGUUCAAGGUCUUGACUGUUGGCCUCUAGGAUCUGGAACCAUCACACACAUCACCCAACUACUCACCCUCACCAUGGAGCCCAAUCACCAGGAAAACAUCCCCUUCAUCACCAGUUCACAAGAUCAUCAUCGGCCUACCUUGGCUUCAGCGCCAUAACUCUACCAUCUCAUGGUCGAGGAUGAGAAUCACAGACUGGUCACCUGAAUGCCUGAGAACCUGCUUUCCUGUCCCCUGUGGUUCCACGUCGGUUGAGAGUCCGGUGGUUUCACUCCAGCCCAACAUCCCAGAGGAAUAUCAGGAUCUAAGGGAGGUGUUCUCCAAGACCCGCGCUACCUGUCUCCCUCCUCAUCGGCCCUGGGACUGUGGCAUUGACCUGUUUUCCAGUGCUACACCUCCGUGCAGCCUCAUCUACCCUCUGUAAGUGGCUGAGACCCAGGCCAUGGAGGACUACAUACAAGAGGCGCUCCAAAAGGGUUUUAUCCGCAGGUCCACGUCGGCUGGUUUCUUCUUCGUGGCCAAGGAGGGAUGAUUACGUCCUUGUCAUUGAGUCCACGGUAAUCGAUACAUCACCACAAAGUAUCAGUACCCUCUCCCGGUGGUGCCGUCAGCCAUCGAGCAGCUCCGCAAGGCCUGGUUCUUCACCAAACUGUACCUGCAGAGUGCCUACAAUCCCAUUCGCAUCCGGGAGGGGGAUGAGUGGAAGACAGCAUUCAGCACGAUGUCUGGUCAUUACGAGUACUUAGUUAUGCCCUUUGGCUUAGCCAAUUCUCUGUCAGUGUCCCAGGCAGCCAUCAACAAGGUCUUCAGGGACAUGCUCGGACAUCAUGUGAUUGUGUACAUCUGACAUCCUGAUAUUCUCGACCACCCUGGAGGAUCACAUCACUCAAUGUUUGAGCAGUCCUGGAAUGCCUCUUGGCUAACCAUCUGUUCAUCAAGGUGGAGAAGUGCCAAUUCCACCAGAGGGAACCAGAGUCUCCUUCUUGGGCUACCAAAUCAGCCUCCAGGGAGUGAAGUUGGACAAGGAAGUAGAUGCAGUAAGGUCAUGGCCAGUCCCAACCACCAUCAAGGGGUUACAACGGUUUUUGGGGUUUGCCAACUUUUAACGACGCUUCAUCAGGAACUUCAGUGUCGUCGCCGCCACUAUCACCUCCCUCCAAGGGUGGGCCUCGUAGGUUGGUUUGGUCUCCAGCAGCCGACAAGGCCUUUCGUCUCAAGGUGCGUUUCACCUCCACCCUAUUGCUAAAACACCCAGACCAUACUUUACCUUUUGUGGUUGAGGUAGAUGCAUUGGCGGUGGGUGUUGGGGCAGUAUUGUCACAAAGACAGGGGGACCCACUAAAAUUGUAUCCUUGUGGUUUCCUCUCCAAGAAACUGUCCCCCGCAGAGGAAUUAUGACGUCGGUAAUGAUUGUCACGUCUGCUCCUGCUCCUCCCCUCCGGCAUACGUCGUCGCCAGAGUACUAACCACCGGUCCUGGGAUUCAUCAUUAUGGGCACCUGGCACUCAUCAUUAACCAGGACUCCAUUACAUUCAUAAUUUCCUCCCAUAUGUCAGUCUCCCCUUUUCACUCACCAGUGUAUCGGCGUUCUGUCUAUUGUUGGUUUUGUUUUAUUAAAACGUUUCACCUGCACUUG